UGACUUGAUUCUGUCUGAAAAUUCAUUAUUCCGAGAGCGUUUAAAAAGAGUGGAGGUGCGCAAUGGCAGCUACUGAAGUGUUAAACGGUUUGCAAUUUUUCGAAGGAGUUGAAAAACUUCUUGAAAUUUGGUUUACUACAAGUGAUGGUAAUCAUAAGACAGCUGACUUGAGAAAAAUACCCAGACAUAAAUUGGAGGCGCUGAUGAAAAUUGUCCGAUGCGAAAUAAUAAGUUAUGUGAAAAAUGAUCAAAUUGAUGCUUACGUAUUAAGUGAGAGUUCUAUGUUCGUCUCUAAGAGACGCUUUAUUUUGAAAACAUGCGGGACAACGACACCUUUGUUGUGUUUGGAGCCUCUUCUGCUGAUGGCAGAGCAAUACGCGGGGUUCACAGAAGUUGAAGAUUUAUAUUAUUCAAGAAAAAACUUCAAACGGCCUGAUUUACAAGUGACACCCCAUCAACACUUCGAUCAAGAGGUGGCUUUGUUAGACACACUGUUUCCGGAUGGAGCUGCCUAUUGCUUGGGAGCGGUAAAUAGAGAUUGUUGGUAUCUCUAUACUUUAAAUCCGAUUCCGCAACGCCUACCCUCUUUACCGAAUCCGGAUGAACCGGACCAAACGCUUGAAAUUAUGAUGACAGAUCUCGAUCCGGAAAUCAUGUCUAUAUUCACAAAGGAAGAGUGUUUGAAUGCAACCGAAGCCACGAAGAAAGCGGGGAUUGACAAAAUAAUUCCCAAUAUGAUAAUUGAUGAUUUCCUCUUCAAUCCUUGCGGAUACUCCAUGAACGGUGUUACUAAAAAUAUUUGUUCAGAACUUGAAGACGGUUGCUACAUGACUAUCCAUAUUACUCCGGAACCUGAUUUUUCUUAUGUUAGUUUUGAGACAAACGUUCCUUCCAGCUCCUACAAGGAAAUAAUCAGUAAAGUCCUCGAAACAUUCAAUCCAGGGAAGUUUACUGUCACCGUUUUCUCAAACCAAUUGUCUCCAACAAAGGACACAUCGAAAGAGCUACUUUUCCUCAACCAACUGGCCGAUUGGCAAAGACGAGACGUUCAGCAAUGCAGUAUUAAGAACUACGAUCUCGUGUACGCGUUCUUCUGUCGUUUUCCAAGCUGAGGGUGUCCGGGCGAGCUGUGCGAGUGCACAGCUAACCGUAACCUUUCCCACCUCCUUUCUUCCAAUCCUUUACCUUCCAGAAUUUUCCCUCAACAUUUCUUUUCCACUCUACCUAUCCCUCGUAAAUCAUCUCACAAUCAGAUUCCUCAUCUUUUACUUCAUUCAUUUCUAUUACACUUUAACAACAACUUUGCCGUAGACGAUAUAGAGAAGAAUUUGCCUAAAUCUGUUGUACCGAGCUUCCUUUUCUACUACGGCUACUCUGUGAUGGCUUGCGCACUUUUAAUGAAGUUCGGACUUUUAAAAUCGAAGAACGUCAACCCCAACAACCAUGACUGUAACACGCAGCCAGCUUACAAUACUUUGUUUGGACCUUUUUCAUUCUUUUUUCUUUAUUUCACCCUGUUCGCGCCAGUUUUCAAGUUCACAGAUUUUGAGUCGCCACUUGUUCUUUUUUCUUGGUGGCGCAAUAAAAUAUCGUGAGAACUACUGAAAAAACUUCCACAGUAGGUAGUGCAUUAGAGGGCUUGUCUUUUCAUCUAUGAGGGUGUUAAGAAUUCUUGAUGCAUUAUAAUCUUUGUCCUGAUUGCCCUACCUCCUUGGAAGUUUUAGCACUGGUUUAUUUCCGAUUAUGAAGUAGAUGGAUUUUCUUUUUGUAAAGAGCCUUUGAAUGAACAACUCCAAAAUUUUUCCCCAAAAAUAUCAGGGUUGAUGUAGGUCCAUUCGGUGUAAAAAUAAGCUCUAGAUGUUGAGUAGGUAAAACUUUUUCGAUAAAACACUAGAGGCUUAUUUUAUUUUAUUACUAAAUUACAAGAAGAUUUAUUAAGACUUUAUCUAAUGGAAAUUGGACAGAUUUUAUUGAGCAUGUAGUAAUUAAUAUACAAUAGUUUUAAGAUUAGAAUUAUAAAUAUUUGCUUUAAUUUUUAAACAUAUAUAUUUAGAGAUCGAAUAAUAGAGAGAUAUCGAAACCGUCGUUUGGUAAUAAAAGAUCCUUUAUUUUGACACUUUUGACAUAUAAGCAUGGUUAUUUAUGUCAAAAUAAAGGAUCUUUUAUUAAAGGACGAUGUUAAAUAGGGUUUCGAUAUCUCUCUAAUUAAUUUAUUUUUGAACCAAACAUGACAAAUACUGAAAAUCAUAAGAUGCUUUAUUUAAAAAAUAAUAUUAAGCACAUUAUCCACUUUUAGAUAUGUUUUCUACCAUUUAUAUAAUAUGUCUUCCCAACAAAUAAAUUAAAAGCAAAUCUCUCUUAGGGCGUAGGCGCAAAAUCUUGGCUCCAGUGCUUUUUAAAUGCAUUCAUUUUUUUUCGAAUACUGAGAAAACUAAUAAAAAUUUUUACGCAGAAUGAGAUAUUAGGUACAUUAUUUUCAAAGGCCGAAAGUCACUUAGGAUAAACAAAAUGUUUCUUUUGAAUGAGAUAUUUGAAAUUAAAAAUCAUAAUAAAUUUCCUCUUUUUUUUUCACCACUGCUUAUUAAAAUAAACAUUAUAUAAGUUUUCAGAGACUUUCGGCCCUCGGUAACGUAAUCUUUCAUUCUGCGUUUAAAAUUUGCAAAAAUAUUUAUCAGUUUUCUCAGGAUUCGAAAAAAAAAGAAUGCAUUUAAAAAGCAUUUGAGCCGAAAUUUUGCAUCUACUCCCUUAAGUCAAUAGGUAAAUACUGAUUACCUCAAACUUGACUACAGAAAGUUAAGACCGGUGUUUAAAAAUACUUAAUAAUUUUCCUAAACUCACCGCAGUUAAAAUAAAACAUAUUCGGCUCAUAUUAUUGAGGUACAUAAUGAUUUCCUUUGCUUGUAUUCCUAUACGGGGUUAGCUCUUCUGAUUACAUUUAUUAAACUGUUUCUAUCUUAGUCAUACCCAUAUAGACUACUAGUCUUCUCUAGGCGUCUCCAACCAUAUCUUCAUUGGUUUAACAGGAACCUUUGCAGGAACGGAACAAGUAGGCAACAUUCAGCACCGUACAUCAUAAUUAAAAUUUCAGUACCGUUCUUAUAAAACUUAUCAUUUAGUUUUUUCGUCAUAUAAAUACCACCGCUACUUCCCGUUUUAACGAUGCUGUUUCACCUCGAAAAAAAAAAAUAGAUUUUGCGGUGGACAUCCGAACUUAUCAUUGGAUAAGUUUUUACAUGGUAAACAAAAAAUUCAAAAAGAUUUUAUUAGCUUAUAUGUUUAUUGAGAUAACUCUGUCGAGUUUUUUAGUUAUAACGAUUUUUGACUUUUUGGUAUCACUCGGAAAUCAAAACAACGAAUUUUUUGCACAAAAAAGGGCGAAAAUCAACAUAUUUAUUAUUGUUAAAUAAAAAAUAAGCAUAAAACAGAAAAUAUAUACAAAAUUCCAGGUGGGUCGGUCAAGUAGUUUUUGAGUUACAAUGUCUACAGCCUUUGAAAAAAGCAGUUUUGAGGAAAAAGCGUUUAAAGUAUUGUCAACUUUUAUUUUCAAUUUCUGUUAUUUUCAGUUUGUCUGUCAAAUCGUAAAAUGAUGCACGCCGGAAUAUCUUUUUGAAUCGCGGAGUAAUUUACAAAAGAAAAUGAGAACAGCUGUUGACCGUUGUUCAUUACGUUCAAGCGUGCUGACGGGAACCUGCUGCAAAGCUAGUCGAAGAUAGGGAUAUUCAACACUAUUUCCCUACCUUCGACUCGCUUUGCAGCAUCUUCGCGCCAGUGCGCUUGAGCGUAGUGAGAAACGGUCAACAGCUGUUCUCAUUUUCUUUUGUAAAUUACUCCGCGAUUCAAGAACAUAUUCCGGUGUGCAUCAUUUUACGAUUUGACAGACAAAAAAAAGUGAAAAUAAAAUAAAAGUUGACAAUACUUUAAAAGCAUUUUUCUCAAAACUGCUUUUUUCAAAGCCUGUAGGCAUUGUAACUCAAAAACUACUUGACCAACUCACCUGGAGUUUUGUACAUAUUUUCUUUAGACAUUCCUUGAGGAAACACUGUCGAGAUAUUUUUUUAUUUUAUGCUUAUAUUUUGUUUAACAAUAUGUUGAUUUUCACCCUUUUUUCUGUAAAAAAUUUCGUUGUUUUGACUUGAGUGAUAGUGAUACCUACUAAAAAGUCAAAGAUCAUUAAAACUAAAAGAAACUUGACAGCGUUACCUCGAGAAACUCAUAAGCUAAUAAAAUCUUUUUGAAUUUUUUGUCUACCAUGAUCCAAUGAUAAAUUCUGAUGUCCACCGCAAAAUUCAUUGCUUUUUGGGGUGUCUUUAAAAAUUUGUCACCGUUGGCUUAUUUUUCAAUAUUUCUUGAUUUUUUUUUGAAUAUUUUUUUAAUUAUACUUAGUAUGCGUAUUUAAUUUAAAAAUAAAAUUAUUCUCUUAUACUUUAAAAAAAAAUCACAAAAAAAUGUUGAUUUCAACCCCUACGGCCCCCCCUUAAGGAUAGCUAUGACACGAUUCUGAUAGGCAACCCAUGCUGGUCGUGUUUGUCUAUGUAUGAAAUUUAAUAAAAAAAAUGUUUUAUCCGGCAAGCAUUCGGAUCCCGUACUAUAAGUCUGCAAAUUGGGUCUCAGAUGACAUCCUCAUUACUCAGAACUCUAGGACUCGAAUUUGAUCAUUAUGACCAAGUUUCUCAAGCUUGGAAACAAAGAGAAGUGACACGGUGCCAAAUUUAGAGAAUGCGGUGGAUGGGGCAGCAGUUCGUAGCGCAAAUCAACCAAUCUGACGGUCCAAAACGGCUCCAUUUUGUUUUUGCUGCAAUUUGGCGUCGAAUCGACUCGAUAAUUGGACAGUCGAUGUAGAUCACACCUUAUGAAUUCCGGAAAAUUGUGACCAUCACCUUUCCGACCGAUACGAAAGUCUUCGCCUGCUUCAGAGGAUGUUCGCCAGGUGGAGUCCACUGUUUUUAUUGUUCCUUGGUCUCUGGUACGUACUAGUGCGUCCAUGUUUCGUCACAAAAUAACGCAGAAACUCAUUCGAAUUGUGCUUAACCAACGUCAAACACAGUUUUGAAGUGGUCUCACUGUUGUGCUUGUUGUCCGAAGUGAGAAAACGCGGCGCCCAUCACGCAGAUACCCAAAAUGUCAUGCAGGAUAUGACCCACGCAAUCUGUAAAUAUGCCUACUGUCUCAGCUAUCUUACACUGAGAAAAUAAUUAAAUUUACGUUGAAAAUUUCCGCAAAACUGUUUCAAGCUGAAUAAUAUUGUAACUCAAAUUCACGCUGCUGUGGCGAAUACAAAAUAUGAAUAACAUCUGACGAGGCUGAACUUGAAAGUGUGCGAGUACAUUUUUCUAUAUCAAUUGUAAGGAAUCCCUUGUUAGCUUUGCUUGUUUAGCGUGUAUAGGUAGCUUUUUUUACAAUAACUCUUCUUCGUAAUCCAGGCGAUGCACAUUUAUCUCUGGAACUUGGUCAUACGACCUUUGUUAGUCAUAAGACCCUCUCUUUCCAUUAAACUCCAACAAAUCCUGUGGUACUCAACGAAAGCUAACAUUUCCUCAUUGGUAGUUUUAGGAUCUCUUCUGGUUUAAUCCUCAGUUGGCCGGUACAUUUCUGCCUCGUAUCUCUUAACACAUUGCACUGGCAUAGUAGGAUGUGUAUGGCAGUCUUUUCUUUCAUUUCGAAUUUUUUACAACACGGUUCAUUCACUUUACUUAUUUUGUAUAGGUGUUUUCUUAAAAGACGGAUUUUUUAUUCCAAUCACCACUUCAGGGACCGGUUUAAUCUCCCAUCUAUGGAAAUUCAUUAAAUUAUCCGAGCAUUUUUAUCAAUAUUCUUGAUUAUUUACGUAUUCUGGAUUUACCCUUGAGUGGAUCUCUAUUUCUUUUGAUGAUUCCUUAUCAGUCACUUCUAAACCUAGUUUCUUGCAUAUUUUUGGUAAUACGUUACAGUAACUCAAUAAGAAAUAAAAGUCAUAGAAUGUUUCACUCUUAACUUUCUAUGUGUCUGAAAAAAAUCCAAUGUUAAUUUUGAAGGAUGUACCAUGUAUAAUGCUUUAGUACAGUCGAAUAUCGAUCAAUCAUUUUAACCUAUACUAAAUUUACAAUCAAGAUGCAGUAGAAAUAAACAAACCAUUGAAAUGUAUAUACAUUGUAAAUUAUGAUUCGGCAGUGCUCCUAGUAGCAUUUAACGUGUCUUGGUUUGUUUAUUUCUACUGCAUCUUGAAUGUAAAUUUAGUAUAAUAACAAAAUAAAAAUAUAACGAUAUGUAUAACGUUAUAUCCAAUAUAAUCUAACCUUUGCUCAAAUUCACGUUUAAAUUUUAUUCUCCCUGUUUUGGUCCCUGAUGUCAGCAUUGGUAAUGUUGUUCCAUUUUUAUCUUUGCCAAUACGUCACGAUUCAUUUAAAAAAAAUUAAAUCAAAACAUAAAGUGAAACGUACGCGGAUGUGUAUAGUAUAUAGUAUACAGUAUACAAAAUGUAUGUACACGUCGACGUUCGUUUCACUUUAUGUUUUGACUUAAAUUGUUUGAAAAUGAGUCGUGACGCAUGGGAAAAGUUGAAUGGAAGAACUAUAUAUUGGUCCCCUUUAUUGUACCUUAUAGUGUUAGGGAAAACAAAAGAAAACAUAUCAAUUAUUAUAAAACUAUAUUAUAAUGAUUUUCCUAUUAUCCAACUCCUAUUUCGUUUUAAAAAUUUAUGUUCAGUUGGUAUUUUUUUGAACCAUUUAGAUGUGGCAUUUUUCGUUGACUCUUAAAGAAUAAUACCUCGCAGUGCAAGUAAAAUCUUUAAAUAAAUCAUUGAAAACUUUCAUAGGCCCCAUACGCCUGCGAUCAAAUUACGCAAAUUUACAAUGCACAGUAAACUGUUACUAAAACUGGUCUCCCAUACACUAGGCAUUUUUACGCAAUCACACGUCAAGCAACACAUACUGUAACAAUUGUUUGUAAAACCGUUUCUGUUGAGCAAAUUUGUUCACAGGUGUAAAACAUUGAUAGCAUCCAACUGUUAUUUAAAGUGGUCACCCAUACAUUAUGCAUUUUUACGCAUUCACACGUCAAGCAACACAAUAAACUGUAACAUUUGUUUGUAAAACAGUUUCUGUUGAGCAAAUUUGUUCACAGACGUGAAACAUUGAAAACUUUCAUAACAUCAACAACUGUUGCUUAAAGUGGUCACCCAUACAUUAUGCAUUUUUACGCAAUCACACGUCAAGCAACCCAAUAAACUGUAACACUUGUUUGUAAAAUAUAUUCUGUUGCGCAAAUUUGUUCACAGGUACAAAACAUUGAAAACAUUCAUAGCAUCAACAACUGUUGCUUAAAGUGGUCACCCAUACAUUAUGCAUUUUUACACAAUCACACGUCAAGCAACACAAUAAACUGUAACAAUUGUUUGUAAAACAGUUUCUGUUGAACAAAUUUGUUCACAGAUGUAAAACAUUGAAAACUUUCAUAACAUCAACAACUGUUGCUUAAAGCGGUCACUCAUACAUUAUGCAUUUUUAAGCAAUCACACGUCAAGCAACACAAUAAACUGUAACACUUGUUUGUAAAACAGUUUCUGUUGCGCAAAUUUGUUCACAGGUGUAAAACAUUGAAACCAUUCAUAGCAUCAACAACUGUUGCUUAAACUGAUCACCCAUAUACUAAGCAUGUUUACGCAAUCACACGUCAAGCAAUACAUACUGUAACAAUUGUUUGUAAAACCGUUUCUGUUGCGCAAAUUUGUUUACAGGUGUAAACCAUUGAAAACAUUGAUAGCAUCAACAACUGCUGCUUAAAUUGGUCACCCAUACAUUGCGCAAAUUUGUUUACAGGUGUAAACCAUUGAAAAUAUUGAUAGCAUCAACAACUGCUGCUUAAAUUGGUCACCCAUCCAUUAUGCAUUUUUACGCAAUCACACGUCAAGCAACACAAUAAACUGGAACAAUUGUUUGUAAAACAGUUUCUGUUGAGCUUUGUUCACAGAUGUAAAACAUUGAAAACUUUCAUAACAUCAACAACUGUUGCUUAAAGUGGUCACCAAUACAUUAUGCAUUUUUACGCAAUCACACGUCAAGCAACACAUUAAAUUGUAACAAUUGUUUGUAAAACAGUUUCUGUUGAGCAAAUUUGUUCACAGGUGUAAAACAUUGAAAACAUUCAUAGCAUCAACAACUGUUGCUUAACUUGUCAGCCAUACACCAUACACUACGCAUUUUUACGCAAUCACACGUCAAGCAACACAACUGUAACAAUUAUUUAUAAAACAGUUUCUAUUGCGCAAAUUUGUUCACAGGUGUAAAACAUGCGAUCAAAUUGCGCAAAUUUACAUUGCACAACAAAUGGUUACUUAAAUUGGUCACACGUACGCUACGCAUUUUUACGCGAUCAAACGUCAAGCAACUAAAUAAAUUAACAAUUAUUAUUUGUAAAGUAGCUGCUGUUGCGCAAAUGUGUUCACAGGUAUGAAGGGCCCAUUAUUAAUAAACUGUUUCGCUGUCAGCGGCAUAAAAAAUGCACCCUCUGUUUCGUUUCAUUUGGUUAAAUGAAGAAUCUAUUUUCUUCUGUGUUAUAUCGUUGAUUGAUGUAUUGGGGGUUUAUUAAUAUUUCAAUCAACGGUUAUAUCCAUAAGAGACAACGAAAAUUGUUAUAUAUUUCCCCAACCCACUUUUAUUUUAAUAAUAUGUAACAAUGCAUAUCAUUUUACUGAAUUUACUUAAAAUAUACGCCAGUAAAAUUUGUCUUGUUUUCGAUUUUAGAUAGUUAAUUUUUAAUUAGCGAAUUUAAAUAAUUGUGAAACUUGAAUCAAAAUAAGUAGAAAAAAAUAGUUGUUCAGAAGUAUCUAUAUAUUUACAAAAUGUUGAUGUUACUGAUUAUCUGAAAGAAUAAAUAUAACUUUAGUAGACAGAAA
rnacentral:misc_RNA from 1 species